rnacentral:rRNA from 1 species
CCUACGGGUGGCAGCAGUGAGGAAUAUUGGUCAAUGGGCGCGAGCCUGAACCAGCCAAGUAGCGUGAAGGAUGACUGCCCUACGGGUUGUAAACUUCUUUUGUAAAGGAAUAAAGUGAGGCACGUGAGCCUUUGUGUAUGUACUUUAUGAAAAAGGAUCGGCUAACUCCGUGCCAGCAGCCGCGGUAAUACGGAGGAUCCGAGCGUUAUCCGGAUUUAUUGGGUUUAAAGGGAGCGGAGAUGGGUUGUUAAGUCAGUUGUGAAAGUUUGCGGCUCAACCGUAAAAGUGCAAUUGAUACUGGCAGCCUUGAGUACAGUUGAGGUAGGCGGAAUUCGUGGUGUAGCGGUGAAAUGCUUAGAUAUCACGAAGAACUCCGAUUGCGAAGGCAGCUUACUAAACUGCCACUGACAUUGAUGCUCGAAAGUGUGGGUAUCAAACAGGAUUAGAUACCCCAGUAGUC